rnacentral:rRNA from 1 species
GAUGAACGCUGGCGGCGUGCCUAAUACAUGCAAGUCGAGCGAACAGACGAGGAGCUUGCUCCUCUGACGUUAGCGGCGGACGGGUGAGUAACACGUGGAUAACCUACCUAUAAGACUGGGAUAACUUCGGGAAACCGGAGCUAAUACCGGAUAAUAUAUUGAACCGCAUGGUUCAAUAGUGAAAGACGGUUUUGCUGUCACUUAUAGAUGGAUCCGCGCCGCAUUAGCUAGUUGGUAAGGUAACGGCUUACCAAGGCAACGAUGCGUAGCCGACCUGAGAGGGGGGUCGGCCACACUGGAACUGAGACACGGUCCAGACUCCUACGGGAGGCAGCAGGAGGGAAUCUUCCGCAAUGGGCGAAAGCUUGACGGAGCAACGCCGCGUGAGUGAUGAAGGUCUUCGGAUCGUAAAACCCUGUUAUUAGGGAAGAACAAAUGUGUAAGUAACUAUGCACGUCUUGACGGUACCUAAUCAGAAAGCCACGGCUAACUACGUG